CUUUAAAAAAGCGUUAAAGCUUCAUCUAACCUUUAAACCCAAUACCUUUAUACACUUUAAACCCUUAAUUAUUACCGAACAAUUCUAUAAAUUUAUAAAAGAUUCCAUGCUAAAACUAGUAACAAGAAAUCGAAUUUCUCCUUAAUACAAGCAUAAACCAAAAUGGACACCCCAUUGGUAAUUAACGUCAAUAAGUUCAUUAUAACAACACACUCUAGAAAACACUAUAAUUUUAUACGUUAACCUUACACUAGUGUAUUCCAGGAAAGAUUAAAAGAAAGGGAAGGAACUCGGCAAACUUUAACCCCGCCUGUUUACCAAAAACAUCGCCUCUUGACUAACUAUAAGAGGUCCAGCCUGCCCAGUGAGAUACUUAAACGGCCGCGGUACCCUGACCGUGCAAAGGUAGCAUAAUCAUUUGUUCUUUAAAUAAGGACUCGUAUCAACGGCAUCACGAGGGUUAUACUGUCUCCCCUCUCUAAUCAGUGAAACUGACCUCCCCGUGAAGAGGCGGGGAUAAAAAUACAAGACGAGAAGACCCCAUGGAGCUUUAAACCCAAUAACAACCCCUUUUAAAAAAUAACAUAAAAAUUAUACGGUAAUGUUUAUUGGUUUUAGGUUGGGGUGACCACGGAGCAAAACAUAACCUCCUUGACGAAUUGAUUUCAUCCUAAUCCAAGAGCUACUGCUCUAAGAAUCAAAAAUUUGACGUAAUAUGAUCCGGUAACCGAUCAACGAACCAAGUUACCCUGGGGAUAACAGCGCAAUCCAUUUCAAGAGCCCCUAUCGACAAAUGGGUUUACGACCUCGAUGUUGGAUCAGGGUAUCCCAGUGGUGCAGCCGCUACUAAAGGUUUGUUUGUUCAACAAUUAAAACC
rnacentral:rRNA from 1 species